rnacentral:rRNA from 1 species
AGAGUUUGAUCCUGGCUCAGAAUGAACGCUGGCGGCGUGCUUAACACAUGCAAGUCGAACGAGAAAGGGAUUGCUUGCAAUCCUGAGUAGAGUGGCGCACGGGUGAGUAACACGUAGAUAAUCUACCUUCAAGCCUGGGAUAACUAUUCGAAAGGAUGGCUAAUACCGGAUGAAGUGGUUUGACAUAAGUUGAAUCAUGAAAGAUUGCCUCUUCUUGAAAGCAAUUGUUUGGAGAUGAGUCUGCGGACCAUUAGUUUGUUGGUGGGGUAAAGGCCUACCAAGACUACGAUGGUUAGCUGGUCUGAGAGGAUGAUCAGCCACACUGGAACUGGAACACGGUCCAGACUCCUACGGGAGGCAGCAGUGAGGAAUUUUGCGCAAUGGGGGAAACCCUGACGCAGCAACGCCGCGUGAGUGAAGAAGGCCCUUGGGUCGUAAAGCUCUGUCGACAGGGAAGAAAUUGUUUUACAUUAAUAGUGUAAGGCAUUGACGGUACCUGUAGAGGAAGCACCGGCUAACUCCGUGCCAGCAGCCGCGGUAAUACGGGGGGUGCAAGCGUUAUUCGGAAUUAUUGGGCGUAAAGGGCGCGUAGGCGGUCUUGUCGGUCAGAUGUGAAAGCCCGGGGCUCAACCCUGGAAGUGCAUUUGAAACAGCAAGACUUGAGUACGGGAGAGGAGAGCGGAAUUCCUGGUGUAGAGGUGAAAUUCGUAGAUAUCAGGAGGAACACCGAUGGCGAAGGCAGCUCUCUGGACCGAUACUGACGCUGAGGCGCGAAGGUGUGGGUAGCGAACAGGAUUAGAUACCCUGGUAGUCCACACAGUAAACGUUGUUCACUCGGUGUAGCGGAUAUUAAAAUCUGCUGUGCCCAAGCUAACGCAGUAAGUGAACCGCCUGGGGAGUACGGUCGCAAGACUAAAACUCAAAGGAAUUGACGGGGGCCCGCACAA